rnacentral:rRNA from 1 species
AUUGAACGCUGGCGGCAUGCCUAACACAUGCAAGUCGAACGAGUGGCGGACGGGUGAGUAAUUUCUGGGCACCUGCCUGAUGGCGGGGGCUUCCGACUGGAACCGUUAGCUAAUACCGCAUACCAUCAUUUGUGCCCACAUGUGAUUAGCUAGUCGGUGGGGUAACGGCCCAACAAGGCGACGAUCCAUAGCUGGUAUGAGAGGCUGACCGGCCACAAUGGAACUGAGACACGGUCCAGACUCCUACGGGAGGCAGCAGUGGGGAAUAUUGGGCAAUGGGCGCAAGCCUGAAGCAGCCAUGCCGCGUGUAUGAAGAAGGCCUUCGGGUUGUAAAGUACUUUCAGCGGGGAGGCGUUACCCGCAGAAGAAGCACCGGCUAACUACGUGCCAGCAGCCGCGGUAAUAC